rnacentral:tRNA from 1 species
GGACGCGCUGAGCACUGGCCUGAGCUCAACUGACUGUAAAUCAGCCGCAUCCAAAUAAGCCUGUGUAGGUUCGAGUCCUACCGCGUCCACAA